UACGGAGGGUGCAAGCGUUAUCCGGAUUCACUGGGUUUAAAGGGUGCGUAGGUGGGCAGGUAAGUCAGUGGUGAAAUCUCCGGGCUUAACUCGGAAACUGCCAUUGAUACUAUCUGUCUUGAAUACCGUGGAGGUCAGCGGAAUAUGUCAUGUAGCGGUGAAAUGCUUAGAUAUGACAUAGAACACCAAUUGCGAAGGCAGCUGGCUACACGAAUAUUGACACUGAUGACACGAAAAGCGUGGGGAUCAAACAGG
rnacentral:rRNA from 1 species